CACACCAUCAAAGCGCACUAAUGCAUGGUUAAAGGUCAAGAGGGACUACGUGGAAGGGCAAAGUGAUUCCUUGGACUUGGUUCCGCUUGGUGCUUGGUAUGGGAACGGAUGUUUGAAGAUGGAAAGAUUACGACUCCCAAGGAGGCUGAGAGAUUCCAUCAUUUGUUUGGAUUUGGUGCAAGUGUUGCUCAUAUUUUCUCUUGCACGGUGAAGUAGUUUGAAGCUUCUUUGUCUCCUUUGAAGUCAUCGUGGUUCUUUAUCAAUAUUUCUUUGAUAAGAUGAAAUGGAUUUGUUGUGAAGUUAAUCUACAAUGGAUUGUCACCUAUUUAACUCAACUUUUAAAUUGCCUCUACUUGCCUCUUUUCUUAUAUAUGCUGUUAUACACACUUCUUAUCUCCUAGCUUUCCACAUAACUUAUAUUAACAGGGUCUAUUUUGAGAGAAUAUUGAAGAAGACUUUGAAAUUCCCCUUAAGAUAUUCCACUUAAAUUAGUAUCAUUAAUUAUGUUGACAUGUAAAGUUCACACCACUUUGCUGUGAUCUAGGUCGAAAUAAUGUUAAA